GGGAGCUUAGAUGUGGAAGCUCUUUGGAAACCAAGAAACACUCUGAAAAUGAAAAGGAUACCAACUUCAUCUCUCUUUAAGAAUACAAUAUUAGUUUAAAAGAUUGUUCAACUUAAAGCAAUCUUGUAGAGAUUGUCACCCAUGAUUGAUGCUGGCAUAAGAAUGUUUAUCACAGCAUGGCAUAUAUUGGAAGUUUAGUAAAUGAAGAUACAUCCAAUCUGACAUUCUAUUCACAACCACAAAGAGAUAAUGUAGAAACAUAUUUAGUAAUGUGAGAAAAUACUAAAUAUUAAGUGAAAAAGGUGGAAGAGUAAACUGUUCCUGUUUCUCCAUCUUGACAGGAAGCAGAAGUUCUCCUUAGCUGAUUUUUCUUCUUGCCUUAUACUGGGUUCUUUAACACCAGAACAAAAAUAAAUAAAUAAAAGAAUCUUCCAGAAAUUCAUGAAGAGACUUCAGGUCAGGAAAGCCUGAACUUUCUCAUCCAACACCCGUUCAAGUCGGAGGAUGCUGAUUAAUUCAUGAUGGAAAGGUAUCAAUUUCACAGCCCAGACCUCUACAUUCUUGAAAUGCUCUUCUCAUGGGAGACAUUAAAUAAGCUUUGAAUUAACUGAGACCUCUGUGGAUUCUAUAACUCAAAGACCCAGGCUGACGGCUGGUGGAAUAGCUACCAUCUCAAACAUGGCGUGAUGCUGCAUCAGAGAGAAAAAUAAGCUCUUGCAUUGACAAUGAAAUGUCUACCCUGUAGUGACUUGUGCUUACUUCCACUCACAAGUGAUUGCCCAGAGCUACUUACCUGGCUCCAAUCUACCACUGGUGCCAUGACACCCAGGAUGCAGCUGUAGGAACACCACUGGGUCCCUGGAUGUCAUGUAAGCCCUUAAG
rnacentral:lncRNA from 1 species